UUGACUGGGUGUAAGGGCGCGUAGGCGGAGAUGUGUGUCGGAAGUGAAAUCGUACGGCUUAACCGUACAAUGGCUUUCGAAACUACAUCCCUUGAGUACAGAAGGGGUUGAUGGAAUACCUGGUGUAGCGGUGGAAUGCGUAGAUAUCAGGUAGAACACCGGAGGCGAAGGCGGUCAACUGGUCUGUAACUGACGCUGAGGCGCGAAAGUGUGGGGAGCAAACAGGAUUAGAUACCCUGGUAGUCCACACCGUAAACGAUGAUCACUAGUCGUCGGAGGAUUCGACCCCUUCGGUGACGACGCUAACGCAUUAAGUGAUCCACCUGGGGAGUACGCUCGCAAGGGUGAAACUCAAAGGAAUUGACGGGAGCCCGCACAAGCGGUGGAGCAUGUGGUUUAAUUCGAUGCAACGCGAAGAACCUUACCUGGGCUCGAAGUGUAGUGUAAACUCAUGAAAGUGAGGUAUCCCUUCGGGGAGCGCUACAUAGGUGCUGCAUGGCUGUCGUCAGCUCGUGUCGUGAGAUGUUGGGUUAAGUCCCGCAACGAGCGCAACCCUUGUCCUUAGUUGCCAUCAGGUAAAGCUGGGAGCUCUAAGGAGACUGCCGGCGUUAAGUCGGAGGAAGGUGGGGAUGACGUCAAGUCCUCAUGGCCCUUACGUCCAGGGCUACACACGUGCUACAAUGGCCGGUACAAUACGUCGCAAAACCGCGAGGUCAAGCUAAUCGUGAAAAACCGGUCUCAGUUCGGAUUGCUCUCUGCAACUCGAGAGCAUGAAGUCGGAAUCGCUAGUAAACGCGAAUCAGCAGGUCGCGUUGAAUACGUUCCCGGGCU
rnacentral:rRNA from 1 species